rnacentral:rRNA from 1 species
GACGGGGGGGGCAAGUGUUCUUCGGUAAUUACUGGGCGUAAAGCGUGCGCAGGCGGCUUCUCAAGUCAGGGGUGAAAGCCCAGAGCUCAACUCUGGAAUUGCCUUUGAGACUGAGAGGCUUGAGUACGGGAGAGGUGAGUGGAAUUCCCAGUGUAGAGGUGAAAUUCGUAGAUAUUGGGAAGAACACCAGUGGCGGAAGGCGGCUCACUGGACCGUGACUGACGCUCAUGCACGACAGCGUGGGGAUCAAACAGG